rnacentral:rRNA from 1 species
UGCGUAGGCGGCGGGGAAAGUCAGAUGUGAAAUCCGGAGGCUCAACCUCCGAAUUGCAUCCGAUACUACCUCGCUAGAGAUUUGUAGAGGAGCUUGGAAUUCUCGGUGUAGCAGUGAAAUGCGUAGAUAUCGAGAAGAACGCUCGCAGCGAAGGCGAAGCUCUGGGCAAUUUCUGACGCUGAUGCACGAAGGCUAGGGGAGCAAACG